rnacentral:rRNA from 1 species
ACGAACGCUGGCGGCGUGCCUAAUACAUGCAAGUCGAGCGAAGUUUUUCUGGUGCCUGCACUAGAAAAACUUAGCGGCGAACGGGUGAGUAACACGUAAAGAACCUGCCUCAUAGACUGGGACAACUAUUGGAAACGAUAGCUAAUACCGGAUAACAGCAUUAACUGCAUGGUUGAUGUUUAAAAGUUGGUUUUGCUAACACUAUGAGAUGGCUUUGCGGUGCAUUAGCUAGUUGGUGGGGUAAAGGCCUACCAAGGCGACGAUGCAUAGCCGACCUGAGAGGGUGAUCGGCCACACUGGGACUGAGACACGGCCCAGACUCCUACGGGAGGCAGCAGUAGGGAAUCUUCCGCAAUGGGCGAAAGCCUGACGGAGCAACGCCGCGUGAGUGAAGAAGGAUUUCGGUUCGUAAAGCUCUGUUGUUAGGGAAGAAUGAUUGUGUAGUAACUAUACACAGUAGAGACGGUACCUAACCAGAAAGCCACGGCUAACUACGUG